rnacentral:misc_RNA from 1 species
GAUGAAGAAGGCAGCGAAAUGCGAUAAGUGAUGUGAAUUGCAGAAUUCAGUGAAUCAUCGAGUUUUUGAACGCAUAUUGCGCCCUCUGGUAUUCCGGGGGGCAUGCCUGUUCGAGCGUCAUUAAAUAACCCUCAAGCAUAGCUUGGUGUUGGGCUUUUUUACGUCCUUGACUGGGAUGGGCCUAAAAAUUAGUGGCGAUGGCUUUUUUACUUUCAAGCGUAGUAAAUCUCGUCUUGCUAAAGAGGAAAAAGAUUUUUUUUCUGCCAAAAAUUUUAACAUUUAAAGUUGACCUCGGAUCAGGUAGGAUUACCCGCUGAACUUAAGCAUAUCAAUAAGCGGAGGA